GAGGAAUAUUGGGCAAUGCCCGAAAGGGUGACCCAGCAACGCCGCGUGGAGGAUGAAGGUCGUAAGAUUGUAAACUCCUGUUAGAGGGGAAGAAUAACUAAGUUUGGAGCUUAGUAUGACUGUACCCUCAGAGAAAGCCCCGGCUAACUACGUGCCAGCAGCCGCGGUAAUACGUAGGGGGCAAGCGUUGUCCGGAUUUACUGGGUGUAAAGGGCGCGCAGGCGGAAUGGAAAGUCAGUGGUGAAAUCCUACAGCUUAACUGUAGAACUGCCUUUGAUACUUUCAGUCUUGAGUUCGGGAGAGAGAGACGGAAUUCCAGGUGUAGUGGUGAAAUACGUAGAUAUCUGGAAGAACACCAGUUGCGAAGGCGGUCUCUUGGUCCGAUACUGACGCUGAGGCGCGAAAGCGUGG
rnacentral:rRNA from 1 species